GGCUUACAGUUGAUCUCUGAACAUCAGGUAAGUUUUUUUUCGUGCUUUGUAUGUCUUGGGUAUGUUGGUGCA